rnacentral:lncRNA from 1 species
AUGAAGAGGAGCCCACAAAAGAAACCAGUUGCAAAGAUGAAAGGCCGGUUUGGUUCCCACCGCAACCUGGACACCGCCCCGCGCCGCGCCGCGGGAGCUGCAGCCCAGCUGGGGGCAAGGUCACGGUCACGGUCACGCUCCGCGCGGGGGGAGGGGAGGGGCCCGCAGCCGGCCCCACCCAGCGGCCUCUCCCCAGCCCCCAGCCCCGGGGAGGGGCGCCGGCGCGGGCACGCGGGUGAGUCCGGAUCCUCCCGGGCCCGCGGAGGCCACGCGGGGACUGCCACCCGCCUCCCAGGGGCGCGCGGUCCGCGCUGA